rnacentral:tRNA from 2 species
AAGGGAGAAGCACCAGGAAGCAUAGCUGGCUUGAAACUAGUUAGAGGGGGUUCAAAUCCUCCCUCCCUUG